AAAAGCCACUAAGCGUUGAAGUCAGAGUGCUCGUACCGCAAUCCGACUCUGGUAGAUGGGUAGAGUAUACCAAGGUGAACGGGAUAACCCUCGUUAUGGAAUUAGGCAAUUUAGCCCCGUAACUUCGGGAUAAGGGGUGCCUGCUGACGUGAAUGAAUAAUGAGCGUUGGUGGGUCGCAGUGAAAUGGUUCUAGUGACUGGUUAACAAAACCACAGGUCUCUGCUAAGCCGAAAGGCGAUGUAUAGGGGCUGACACCUGCCCAGUGCCGGAAGGUUAAAAGGAGAGGUUAGCGUAAGCGAAGCUUUGAAUUGAAGCCCCGGUGAACGGCGGCCGUAACUAUAACGGUCCUAAGGUAGCGAAAUUCCUUGUCGGGUAAGUUCCGACCCGCACGAACGGUGUAACAACUAGAACAGUGUCUCAACGAGGGACCCGGCGAAAUUGAAAUGGCUGUGAAGAUGCGGCCUACCCGCAGCAGGACAAAAAGACCCCGUGGAGCUUUACUGCAUCCUGGCAUUGAGUUUGGACACAAUCUGUGUAGGAUAGGUGGGAGCCUGUGAAGCUGGCGCGCUAGCGUCGGUGGAGGCAACGGUGAAAUACCACCCUGAUUAUGUUUAGACCCUAACCCCAUUCCGUCAUCCGGAUGGGGAACCGUGCCAGGUGGGCAGUUUGACUGGGGCGGUCGCCUCCCAAAAGGUGACGGAGGCGCCCAAAGGUUCCCUCAGCCUGAAUGGAAACCAGGCAAAGAGUGUAAAGGCACAAGGGAGCUUGACUGCAAGACCAACGCGUCGAGCAGAGACGAAAGUCGGGCUUAGUGAUCCCACGGUUCUGAGUGGAAGGGCCGUGGCUUACCGGAUAAAAGCUACCCCGGGGAUAACAGGCUGGUGAAGUCCAAGAGUUCACAUCGACGACUUCGCUCGGCACCUCGAUGUCGGCUCAUCGCAUCCUGGGGCUGGACAAGGUCCCAAGGGUCGGGCUGUUCGCCCGUUAAAGCGGUACGCGAGCUGGGUUCAGACCGUCGUGAGACAGGUCGGUCUCUAUCCGCUGUGGGCGUAAGGGAUUUGAGAGGAGCUGCCCCUAGUACGAGAGGACCGGGGUGGACAGACCUCUGGUGUGCCAGUUGUCGUGCCAACGGCAUUGCUGGGUAGCUACGUCUGGCAGAGAUAACCGCUGAAAGCAUCUAAGUGGGAAACUCGCCUCAAGACUAGAUCCCUAUAUUCCCGUAAGGGAGUAAGAUCGCAAGUAGACUACUUGCUUGAUAGGCGGUAUGUGUAAGUUCAGCAAUGGAUUGAGCAAAACCGUACUAAUGAUCGAGUGCUUUCUAC
rnacentral:rRNA from 1 species